AAACUGGCCUCCUGUUUUGGAAGGGUAGGGAGCUGAAACGAAUUUAAAGCAGAUAAGUUAAUGUAAGACUCAAUGCAGCAUUAAUGUCACCUAACACAGGGAGCGGGAGAGAGUGAUGAUAGCGUGAGCACGCUCAGAACAGAAGAUGUAAACAGCUGAGUGGGUGAGCAGGAACCUCAGAGACUGCAGUAGAAAGGACUAUGAAAGUUCAGAUGGGCUAAAUACUGCUUUUCCCCAGAGUCCCAUAGGGAGCUGGAAAGCUUCCCCAGUCAGCAGCAGAUGGGAACGCUGAAGGGGAGAGACGGGAGAAAGCUGACGACUGAAGCUGGAUGCAGAAGGAAAGAAACAAAGUGCAGAAAAAUCUACUUAGGUAUUUUAAGAUAGUAAGUCCCUAGUUUUGCAUGCUUUUAAAACAGAAUUUUAUACAAUCUUUGUAAUAACCAAACUAAAACACAUUUAUGCACAAUUCACAUCCAAAUGAGAAGAAGGGGUGGCCCAGGAAGAGAAGCCAAGCCCAACAGGCCAGUCUGCCGAGUUUGCCUUCCAUUAAGGCUUCAGCAGAAGGCAGUCUCCAGAGGAAAGCAAAUAACACUUGGAAGUCACUUGAUGAAGAUGGCAUUGGCACAAGAGAAGUCUUGAAGCACAGAGAUGGAAAGCCUAGACUACAGAGCACACGGGUUUGUCACUUGCUAGUUAUAUGCCCUGGG
rnacentral:lncRNA from 1 species